rnacentral:rRNA from 1 species
CCGUACACAAAAAUGCACAUAUUGUGAGCUCGAUGAGUAGGGCGGGACACGUGGUAUCCUGUCUGAAUAUGGGGGGACCAUCCUCCAAGGCUAAAUACUCCUGACUGACCGAUAGUGAACCAGUACCGUGAGGGAAAGGCGAAAAGAACCCCGGCGAGGGGAGUGAAAAAGAACCUGAAACCGUGUACGUACAAGCAGUGGGAGCCUCUUAAUGGGGUGACUGCGUACCUUUUGUAUAAUGGGUCAGCGACUUAUAUUCUGUAGCAAGGUUAACCGAAUAGGGGAGCCGAAGGGAAACCGAGUCUUAACUGGGCGUUAAGUUGCAGGGUAUAGACCCGAAACCCGGUGAUCUAGCCAUGGGCAGGUUGAAGGUUGGGUAACACUAACUGGAGGACCGAACCGACUAAUGUUGAAAAAUUAGCGGAUGACUUGUGGCUGGGGGUGAAAGGCCAAUCAAACCGGGAGAUAGCUGGUUCUCCCCGAAAGCUAUUUAGGUAGCGCCUCGUGAAUUCAUCUCCGGGGGUAGAGCACUGUUUCGGCAAGGGGGUCAUCCCGACUUACCAACCCGAUGCAAACUGCGAAUACCGGAGAAUGUUAUCACGGGAGACACACGGCGGGUGCUAACGUCCGUCGUGAAGAGGGAAACAACCCAGACCGCCAGCUAAGGUCCCAAAGUCAUGGUUAAGUGGGAAACGAUGUGGGAAGGCCCAGACAGCCAGGAUGUUGGCUUAGAAGCAGCCAUCAUUUAAAGAAAGCGUAAUAGCUCACUGGUCGAGUCGGCCUGCGCGGAAGAUGUAACGGGGCUAAACCAUGCACCGAAGCUGCGGCAGCGACACUAUGUGUUGUUGGGUAGGGGAGCGUUCUGUAAGCCUGCGAAGGUGUGCUGUGAGGCAUGCUGGAGGUAUCAGAAGUGCGAAUGCUGACAUAAGUAACGAUAAAGCGGGUGAAAAGCCCGCUCGCCGGAAGACCAAGGGUUCCUGUCCAACGUUAAUCGGGGCAGGGUGAGUCGACCCCUAAGGCGAGGCCGAAAGGCGUAGUCGAUGGGAAACAGGUUAAUAUUCCUGUACUUGGUGUUACUGCGAAGGGGGGACGGAGAAGGCUAUGUUGGCCGGGCGACGGUUGUCCCGGUUUAAGCGUGUAGGCUGGUUUUCCAGGCAAAUCCGGAAAAUCAAGGCUGAGGCGUGAUGACGAGGCACUACGGUGCUGAAGCAACAAAUGCCCUGCUUCCAGGAAAAGCCUCUAAGCAUCAGGUAACAUCAAAUCGUACCCCAAACCGACACAGGUGGUCAGGUAGAGAAUACCAAGGCGCUUGAGAGAACUCGGGUGAAGGAACUAGGCAAAAUGGUGCCGUAACUUCGGGAGAAGGCACGCUGAUAUGUAGGUGAAGCGACUUGCUCGUGGAGCUGAAAUCAGUCGAAGAUACCAGCUGGCUGCAACUGUUUAUUAAAAACACAGCACUGUGCAAACACGAAAGUGGACGUAUACGGUGUGACGCCUGCCCGGUGCCGGAAGGUUAAUUGAUGGGGUUAGCGGUAACGCGAAGCUCUUGAUCGAAGCCCCGGUAAACGGCGGCCGUAACUAUAACGGUCCUAAGGUAGCGAAAUUCCUUGUCGGGUAAGUUCCGACCUGCACGAAUGGCGUAAUGAUGGCCAGGCUGUCUCCACCCGAGACUCAGUGAAAUUGAACUCGCUGUGAAGAUGCAGUGUACCCGCGGCAAGACGGAAAGACCCCGUGAACCUUUACUAUAGCUUGACACUGAACAUUGAGCCUUGAUGUGUAGGAUAGGUGGGAGGCUUUGAAGUGUGGACGCCAGUCUGCAUGGAGCCGACCUUGAAAUACCACCCUUUAAUGUUUGAUGUUCUAACGUUGGCCCCUGAUCGGGGUUGCGGACAGUGUCUGGUGGGUAGUUUGACUGGGGCGGUCUCCUCCUAAAGAGUAACGGAGGAGCACGAAGGUUGGCUAAUCCUGGUCGGACAUCAGGAGGUUAGUGCAAUGGCAUAAGCCAGCUUGACUGCGAGCGUGACGGCGCGAGCAGGUGCGAAAGCAGGUCAUAGUGAUCCGGUGGUUCUGAAUGGAAGGGCCAUCGCUCAACGGAUAAAAGGUACUCCGGGGAUAACAGGCUGAUACCGCCCAAGAGUUCAUAUCGACGGCGGUGUUUGGCACCUCGAUGUCGGCUCAUCACAUCCUGGGGCUGAAGUAGGUCCCAAGGGUAUGGCUGUUCGCCAUUUAAAGUGGUACGCGAGCUGGGUUUAGAACGUCGUGAGACAGUUCGGUCCCUAUCUGCCGUGGGCGCUGGAGAACUGAGGGGGGCUGCUCCUAGUACGAGAGGACCGGAGUGGACGCAUCACUGGUGUUCGGGUUGUCAUGCCAAUGGCACUGCCCGGUAGCUAAAUGCGGAAGAGAUAAGUGCUGAAAGCAUCUAAGCACGAAACUUGCC